rnacentral:rRNA from 1 species
CCUACGGGAGGCAGCAGUGAGGAAUAUUGGUCAAUGGACGAGAGUCUGAACCAGCCAAGUAGCGUGAAGGAUGACUGCCCUAUGGGUUGUAAACUUCUUUUAUAUGGGAAUAAAACGUUCCACGUGUGGGAUUUUGUAUGUCCCAUAUGAAUAAGGAUCGGCUAACUCCGUGCCAGCAGCCGCGGUAAUACGGAGGAUCCGAGCGUUAUCCGGAUUUAUUGGGUUUAAAGGGAGCGUAGGUGGAUUGUUAAGUCAGUUGUGAAAGUUUGCGGCUCAACCGUAAAAUUGCAGUUGAAACUGGCAGUCUUGAGUACAGUAGAGGUAGGCGGAAUUCGUGGUGUAGCGGUGAAAUGCUUAGAUAUCACGAAGAACUCCGAUUGCGAAGGCAGUUCACUGGACUGCAACUGACACUGAGGCUCGAAAGUGUGGGUAUCAAACAGGAUUAGAUACCCGUGUAGUC